UGAGGGGCUACUAAGUCCUAGCAAUUUUACCUCCUCAAUUCCCUUUGUAUGUCCCACAGUUCAGGCCCUCAUGCUGACCCCUGCCCCAAUGACUCUUUAAGUAAUUUUCUUGCCUCCUGCACAUGACUUUGUGAUUCGUCCUCCACACUGGCCAUCAGAUCAGACCGUGUUGUGCCCCUGCUUAAAGCCCUACCGUGGCUCUUCAUUGCCUCACCAAUAGGCGGACUUAUCUUUUUUUUUUUUUUUUGAUCACAGAUCCUCUUGAGACUCCUGCUUCUUUAUGCAUAUAUUCACAGAUCAAGCCCUUUACUUGAUAUUCUGGGCUGUCCAACUGCCUUGUUCUUACCUGUCUCUUCAGACUCAUCUCUUAACACUUGAAGCCUAAGCUGCCUGUCCACGAAUGUGUCAUGCUUUCUAACACCUCUGUGACUUUAAUCUCUGUCUGGAAUGCCUUUCCACUUUUGCAUGUCUGAUAAACUCCCAUUCACCCAAUAGGAAGACUCAGACACCGCUCCUGUGAGAAGGCCUCCCCCGCCCCCAAGUCCAGGUUGGGUGCCCCCAUUACAUUCAAUGCCUCUCCAACCACAGCAUCUGUCCCCCUUCCCGUGCAGUAAGACAGGGCUGUGUUUGAUAUCCCUGUGUGACUUCACUGCACAGCAAACUGCCUGGCACAAAGGAAGCACUCAAGAAAUGUUGAAGGAAAAGGAUUCUUAGGUCUUCUUAAAGCAGUUCUUGGCAGAGCUGCCUCCAUCCCCCCGCUUCUGGCUUCCUGCAUCUUCGCUUAGCUACUAACAGGAGAGAGUAACGUCAUCUGAUUCAGAAGCAAAAUGCUGCCCAUCUUCCUUUCCCUCCUCCCUCAACUUGAGACAGGCUGCUACAGUUCUGAGCCCAGCUGGGACUUCCAUGAACUGGACGCAGCCUUGAGCAGGCCACCAAACUCACACACUGGUGCCAUCUAUUGGUCAAAAUUUAACCUUGUCCCUCAAUUAAUGUUGCCAAGCAGUUGACCUUUGCCCGCUUUAAUUCCUUGAGUCCAUUCUUUUUUCGCUUGUAAGAAAAGUGGAAUCUACCGUGUGAUAAUUGUAUGACCUCGGGCAAGUUACUUAUCCACUCUGAGCCCUAGUCUCCUCAUCUGUGACAAGGGGGAAAUAACGAUACUUCCUCUCAGUGUGAAGAUUCAAUGAGAUAAUAUACGGAAAGUACUGAGCACAGCCCCUGGAACCAAGUAAAAGCACUCAAUAAGUGGUAGUAGUCACAGCAAUCAUAGUCAUAGCAGUGGUUAUUAUUAAUUUGAUAACAGAAAUGAGCUUAUAGGCUAGAGAUAACUAAUGACUGGUGUACUCAACUAAUGACUCAUUUCCCAGUCGUCUCCGCCUGAUCUCCUCGCACCAUUUGAUGGUUUACCAGUCAAACCAUCUUUGCAGUGUCUGUCUCUCAUAACAAAAAAAUGAAACAGAGGCCAAAUGUGGCUUCCUGGGCCACUCUUUCCAGGUCUCCAGUCCCUUUUUCUUAGGACAGAGGUUUGAAAACUUAUUUUUUGUGCCUUAGCAGGAACACUUUUCUUUUGAAUGCAGAGGCCCAGUAUACAGACCAAAUAAAGAUGGAGCUGCCUUGGUGGAGGCCAUAGUGGGGGAGGCAGAAUCCCUACCCUGGUGUCCUCUCUCUUGUAAACUAACUCCUCCUUCUCUCAGGCACCUUCGGGGUUCCUAGGUUGUGGGGAAGACUGUUUGAAACCACUGACCCAACGGUUAAAACAAGAUUGAUGAGAAGUCUCAGGGGGGUUAGUAUUUUAACGCGUCCAGUAUUCUGUUUAAAAUCCUUGUUUCGGGUUCUAAGCUUCCAGCAUGUCAUAGCUCAAAAAUUGCUCCAGUCCUGGUACCAUAGGUUGUAGAGGUUUAAAAUCCUUGGAAUCCCAAUAUCCUUGGUUUUAGGGUAUUAUAUAGCAUAGAAUUACAAAUCCCUAAAUCCCCCGGGGUUUAAAGACCCUAAAACCCUUGGAGCAGUAAUUCUUAACUCCCAAUGAGCUCCUCUCGCUUUCCCUCCCCCGACCCGCCCCCCGCCCCUUACUGCACACUUGCUGUUGGUCAGCAGCAGACAUUUUGUCUCACUUUCCUCCCUGUCGCCUGCCCUGAAACGGCUUCCAAUCUUCUUUCCCACACAUGGUUGCUAAGUGAUUGGAAUUCUGACUAACAGAGCCCAGUGUGAGUUACUUUGUUAUGGGUGUAUCCAGCCCUCGUAGCAACUUCAAAUCCAGUGCACAAACUCCGGAGAAAAAUCUCUAUGCAAAAUUCAGAGUCCUUCCUCCGGUUCCACCAUCCUAGUGCCCUAUACUUCCUCACCCCAGCACUGAUGCCUCCUGUUUCCCCCACCCCAUGGCAACAGAGAGAGGGCACAGUGGGUGAGCAUCAGGCUGCAUUUGAGACGGGCCUUGAAGGAUGGGCCAAGGUAGAGAUGGAGGGAGAAAACUUUCCAGAAAGAGGCAGCAGUAUGAAUUCCUUCAUUAAACAAGUAUUUAUUGAGCAGCUACUUACUCUGUGCCCGGCAUUAAUAUUGUAAUGAUUGAGAGCAUGGGCUUUGGAGGCAGAGGUACUUGGGUUCGAAUCCCCUACCUGCCACAUGCUGGCUCUAUCCAUAGGCCCACUCCCCUCAGGGGUCAAAGUCAGGUCUCUGUUCUUAGCCCUCUCACUACCACCUCUGUAGUCCCUUAUUAUACCACAUACCCCACCCCCGCACAUGCUCAUUAAAAUAGUAGCCUAUUCUCCUCUGUCUCUGGGCAAGGAAAGGGCCCUCCCCUACCACAGCGGGUGCUACAAUGCCACCCCAAGCCCCCCACCCCCGUGUGAUUAUCUAGUGGGCAGUUUGUCUCCUUCCUGCCCCAGGCCCCUGUUGUAAAGUGGUUGCCAAUCCUCCUCACAAACAAGGUUGUUAGGUGGCCUGAGUUCACUGUUCUGACCUCUCGGGGGCCUGGCGUUGGUUACUGUGUUUUUGGUUUACUCCCAAUUGGCAAGGCUUGCAGCAACCUCCAUGCAACCAGACAAACACACAUGCAAAAACCUGGGAAACAGGGAGUGCCCAGGAAGUGACAGUCACAACACUCUGCCGGGCACUUGCUACUCACGUUACCGCCAUGAGCUCCUACGGUAGUACAAUCGCCGCAAUCCCAGGAGAUGAUAGGCACAAUUUUUAUGCUCAUUUAUGAAUGAGAAAACUGAGAGUUCACAAGCUGACAUGGAUUAACUCCUUUAAUGUAACAACCCUGAGGGAUAGGUACAGUUAGGAAAACUGAGGCUUAGAGCAUUUUUAUAAAAAAAUAAUAACUUGCCCCAAAUCACACAGCUGGUAAUCUGUGGCACCUUCUAAAUUAAGGCACUUGACAUGUAUUGCCUCAUUUAAUCCUGACAACAACCCUGAGACAUAAGUACUAUUAUUAUCCUCCUUUUAUAGAUGAGGAAACUGAGGUUCAGAGAGAUUAAGAAAUUUGCUCCAGGUCGCACAAUGAAUAAAUGGCUGAGGCAAGAUUUGAGCACUUGCCCUUGGGUUACACGAAUGACAAGUAGCAGGACCGGGAUUCAAGUCUGUCUCAUUCGAAAGCCUUGUGAUUUCAGGAGGUGGCAUCUACAAGGCUUGGUGUAGGAUUAAAUCUUUGGGAGGACUGGAGAGAAAAGCUUUCAAUUCUGGCUGGAGGGAAGUGAGUCAGAGGUUAGGAACAAUUCUGGGCCUGGAAAAGCUGAAGGCUACUGAAAUGUGUCACCAAGGGAGGGACACUUGGGGGCCUCCUCCUGGGCAGUGGUGGGCUCUCACAGAACCUGGGCUGCUUCAGGCACAGGGCUACCAGAGGCAAGGCGCUGAUGAGGGACUUCUGUUCCUGCCGCUCACCGCUGUGCGGCCUCUUAGAGGAAGGGGUCCUGGCUGAGGAGUCUGGGCCCAGAGGGAGGGACUACCAAUUGCCGAGCUCUCCCGUGGUGCACCAGGCACUGGGCUAGCACCGCACACGCUUUAUCCUGAACAAGGCUCACCAAAUCCCGCCGGGUGGGUAGUGCUAUCUUCAUGUUUACAGAUGGGAAACUGGGGCGCAGAGAGGCGAAGCGACAGCCAAGAACUGAGGAAGCUUGGGGGAGAACCGGGACAGUGUAGCUACAGAGUCCUGGCUCUUAACUACUAGGCUCCUCCUCCCCUUCUACUCCCUUCCCCGCAGAAGCAGUAAACUGUCAUGCAAAGGGAUUUCUAUCCCCAUCAUUGGGGACACCUGGGGCCUGGGGCCAAGUGUGAUUUAAAAGGGCUUGAAGAAGAGCCCGAGAACAAGCUGGAGUCAGGCUCUGGGUUCUUCGAGAAUUCUUCCACUCCUGGGAGAGAAGAGCCAGCUCCCACAAGUUCCUCGAAAUUCAACGGGUGUCUGUUAACAGCAGGAGAGGCAGCGCCCCCUAGUGGCUGAGCUCUAGACUAAGCCUGGACCUACAGCGCUAGGUAAAGGAUCAGGAGGCCCACCCACUCAGAGGAUUCUAUGGCCAGCAGUUUAGUGCCUGGUGGUUAUGGGGACAGGCUCUGGAGUCGUGCUAGCCCUUGGUUCAAAUAUUGGUUCUCUUCCUUGCUAGCUAAGUGACCAUGGGAAAAAUAGCAAAUUAAUCUCUAACCCUGAGUUUCUUCAUGUGUAAGAUAGGGAUGAUAUAAUACUAAUUUUACAGGGUUAUUUUAAGGACUAAAUGAGGUAAUACAUGUAAAGGACUUAGCAGAGUACAGGGCACUUUAUAGGUGUGAGAUACAUAUGUAUGUGUGUGUGUAUAUAUAAAAUCAUUGUUCUUUUCUUGGCACUCGCUAUCAUUUGAGAGUUGGAUCUUUGGCUCCCCUUGACUUCCCUGUCUAGCUCUAUUAGGUCCCUGGUGCCCCCAAGCCCACUGUCUUGCCCCAAGGGAGGCACUGACAACACACUCACCUGAGGCUUGUGGGCAAAACCUGUGCUAAAACACUUGCUUUUCUCCAUGUAUACUUUCAAGAAUCUUGGACCAUAUAUCUUUGUCCUUCACUAUCCGGAGAAUGUUAAUAAGCUUGCUUUAGACAGGUGCUAGACUCUUUUUGAGUCUCAAAGCAGCUUUAUAUCCAUGAUCUCAUUGGAAUCUAUUAAUACUCUCUGAUAUAUUCCCAUUUUUCAAUGAGAAAAUUGAAGAUGAUGGGAAUGGAAGUGACUUGCUCAAGGACGUACAGCAAGUCAGUGCAGGAGUCAAGACUGGACCCAGAAUCCUGCACUGAGUCCAGUGCUUUUCCACCAACUCUUGCAGUCUUCCCUGAGCUCCGGCUAUAUGUGAAGCAUCUAUAAUCCAGGAUACAGCUUACUGUUUGGUCCCACAUCACUGCACUCUGACAACAAGUCUCCUGCUUCUGCUGAGGCCAAAGCUGUAUCCCCAGUAAACUCUCAAACUAUGAUUCUUCUCCUAAAAGAAAUGGCAGCCAGUUACCAGAACUGGUGAUCCAAGACAGCCACAUCUCCAACACAUGCCAAGAGUACAAUUAAAUGUUAGAUGACAGGUUUGAGGAGAGAUGAACAUUAUCUCCCCAGCCAAGCAGCAUGCACUGCUGAGAAAUUAACUGCUGUCUGGUACUCACAGCCAGCUGGAUUUAGCCACUCAUCUCAUGUUGGACAUGACCAUCAGGAGCUCAAAGGGGCCACUCUGUCCUUAGUCAGUACAAAGAUCAGGAGGUGGUGAUGUGUGUCAUCAGCAUGGGUCCAGAUGGCAGCACCUGUUUGCAGGCACUGAGAGAAGCAGUAUGAUAAUAGCUCUCAGUGUCGCUUGACAUGACUCUAGGGGUAGAGAAUGCAGGCUUGACUGUCAGUACCAGAGGCUGGUCUCCUCUCACUCUAACACACUGGCAACAGCACAAGCACUGCUGAGAUAACAAAUCAUCAAGCCCAAAGACCCCCUCCUUAGCCCCUAUGUGACACUGAAGCCCUGGCAAGCUUUGUUCUUUUGAGAGGGGAAUCUUGUUACUUCCUUCUGGAGCAUUGGCUCUCUGGGUGGCACUGAAUUUCCCUUUCUGUUGUCACUUGCUCUUCACUCUUUCUUCACUAUGGCAACCCAGGAGAGGGAGCCAGCACUGAAAUCAACUCCUCCCCACAGACAUAUGUGGAACAGCAAAUGUACCCUCUCUAAUAUUAGGGAAGGGGAACAUUUUUAACCCUAUCUCCAUGCUUCAGAGUUGGUCCUUGGUGGAGAGCAAAUACUUUCACUCACAAUUCCAGGCACUUGAUAUAGAUCUUCCUGCAUAGGAUCUACUAAUUUGAUUGGUCUGAGAUCAAUCAUUAGGCUACAUCUCACCAGUGAGCAGAGUCAUCACAGUGAAAAGUGAUAUACAUCUGUGACUAUAUCGUUGGUUCCACCUGCUAUGGAUGAUUAGGUUAGGCCAAAUUUAUUCUGAAUACCUUGGCUUCUCAGAUUCAGAGGGGAGGGAGUAGAUUAAGCUGCAAUUUCCAACCCAUUUUUUUUUUAACCAGAGAACCUUGCAACAGAAGAAUAGAAAAAGGGGAGGCAGGGUUACCAAGCAUAUGCUGUAUUCUUGAAUCAAGCUUUUAUUAAUAAAUGGUACUUUGCUUGCUGUUCUACUCAUAUCUCCUUGUGCUUAUAGCUUUCUCAGUGCGAAGCCUAGAGAAGAAGGGUGACUAGUUGGAUUCAGGCAUGAAAACUCCGCCUUAAACCCACAACACCUAGAAAGAUUAGUGCGGGAUCAGAGUCUGGUCCCAGCCUAUGUCUACACUGGGCAGGGAAGGGGCACUUGUUCAAUUUCUUCACCUUCCACUGAGCUCUGAGGACCUGGGGAACAAAUUCAAUUUCCAUUCAAAUUCCAUACUGAGCUUCUAGUUGUGUGUUGCUCUUUCAUGGGCAUCCAGAUGUGACCUGACUGUAGUGGGAUUGUUAGCCUGGGCUUAGGGGUUUUGCCUUGGGUUAGCAGUGAAAAUUUCCCCUGCUCAAACAGAUUCAUGGAAACUUUAAGCACUUUUGGAAAGCUGAUGACAAUUGCCGUAGGUAAGUUAAGUUUAAAAUAAAAAUCCGUUCUUUGUAAACUUAUUUUAAACGCUUUUUUAAUGACUAUGUAAUAUUUUCUGAGGUGGAGGCAGUGUCGUGGGAAGGAAAGAACACCAGAAUCAGGAGACUUGACUCAGGGCAUUGAAAAAAUACACUGAUGAAAGGAGCCUUAUUAUUCUUGAGACCGGCUACAGUGGCAGUCUUCAGGAGGCCUGGGAUAAAGCCAGAGGGACCUGUGGCCAUUUACCAGGAUAACCAUGCACUGGGCAACUGGAAAUACUCAUACUUUUCAGAGAUUAUUGGACACUGACUCUGAGCUCAUUGUCUAUCAGGGCUGAGGGCUGGUGGUUAGAAUACAACAGUCAUCCACUGGUCAGAGUCAGGGCUUAUGGAGUCAAGAGACUGAACUUUAUCCUGAAUCUGUCUACAAUGGGUCCGAUGGAUCUGCAAAUACAUCAUAUGGUUAUUUCUUAGUUUCUGAAUGCACAUUUGAAAUAGCCGUACUCAGCAACUGGCAGAUCUACCACAUUUGGUAGAAGUGGCCAUUUUGGGGAAGCCCACAUGGCAAGAAACUGUGGGCAGCCUGAGGAAGCUGAGGGCGGCUGCUGGGAACUGAGAGAAGCCUCUAGGAGCUGAGGGCAGCCUGCAGUUCACUACCAGCAGGAAGCUGGGGCCUCUAGACCUACAACCAUAAUGAAAUGAAUUCUGCCAACAGCUUGAGUGAGCUUGGAAGUGGAUUCUUCCACAGUUGAGCCUCUACAUGAGAACCAGCUUGGCCUGACACCUUGUUUGCAAGCUACUGAGAUCCUAAGCAGAGAAGCCAACUAAGUUGAGCCCAGAGUCCUAAGCCACUGAAAUGGUGAGAUGAUAAAUUUAUGUUGUGGUAAUUUGUUCCAUAGCAAUGGAAAACAAACACAGCGUUCAAUGUCCAUUCCACAUUUCCCAGAUUCCCUUGCAACUAGGAUUCUGGAUAUAUUAUAGGCCAAUCAGAUGAUACUCGUGAGACUUGAACGACAGAAGGGAGGUGGAGGCUAUGUUUGUGGCAUUUCUGCUGGUAAACGUGGUUGUAAAGAUGUCUGGUUGUUCUAUUGUAACUUAGUCACUAGCUUGCGGAGACUGAGAGGCUUGGCCUCCAUUUUGCUGGUGGAAAUCAUAGCAGGUAGAGCAUGGUUCAGGAGGUAGCAGCUGUAGUGUUGGUUUUUUAUCAUGGCAGUGGGAAGUAGCAGUUUCCUAAUCAUAGAAGAACUAGCAAUUUCCUUGGUGGCUUGGUUCUGUGGUGUAGCUUUGGAAGUUGUUCUUGAAAGCUCAAUUUAGAGUCAGUCCUCUUGAUAAUUCUGUAAGCCACUUAAUGUCUUGUAAUAAAUUUUUUCCUGCCUAAACCAAUUAGAGUGAAUUCUGUUCUCUGCAACUGAACCUUAACCAAUAUAAGAGAGAAGUCCUUAAGUGAUAAUUAAGUGUAAAUAAAAAUACAUCAAAAUAAAUAAUAGUAAAUUAAGUAAACC